rnacentral:rRNA from 1 species
GAAAGGAAAGUAGUCUAAUCCAUAAAUCUAUUGUGAAUGGAUGGUAACUUGUAGUCUUACUAGUUGCAUAGCUUUAUUUUAUAGCAAUCUCAAUCAAACAUGAGAUCCAAGGGGGUUUUUUGCUCGUAUGUUGACCUAGAAGAAGUUUUUUUCAACUACAUUGUCUAGUAGCGCUCUUUGGCAGUUGAGCUCGAAGCUUGUGGUGAUACUCACAAAAGACUCAUCACUGGUGAGAGACCUUUAGCGCACAAGUACCGUGAGGGAAAGAUGAAAAGAACUUUGGAGAGAGAGUUAAAUAGUAUGCAAACAUGUUGAUAGUAAGCGGAUCAAUCUAAUGAACAUUUUUCUGAAGCAAUGACAUCUAAUGUAUACUCUGAAUGACGAUAUACAUUAUAUACUUCGGGCUAGUCAGGGUGAGGUAUAUAUGCUUUUAUGUAUUUUGAUCUGACCCGUCUAGAAACACGGACCAAGGAGUCUAGUAUUGAUGCAAGUAUAUAAAAAUUAAACGUUCUUUUACAAAGGUAACUCAGAUCGUGUGCAUCAUGUCAUGAUGAUCGUAUCGCGGGCAGUGUUUUUUAUUUAGCACGAGCAUGUA